GGUCCUGUAGUGUAGUGGUUAUCACUGGUGAUUCUGAUUUUCAGUUUAUAACUUCUGAUCAUUUGGAUUUACUUCUACGAGUACCAAUUCAGAAAUUGGUGGUUAUGACCUUGAACAAGGUGACUUCACCCAACCCUGGUUCGAAUCCGGGCAGGACCU